rnacentral:rRNA from 1 species
GUUGUAUAGUCAAGUAAUUAAGUGCAUGUGGUGGAUGCCUUGGCAGUCAGAGGCGAUGAAAGACGUGAUAGCCUGCGAAAAGCUCCGGGGAGGCGGCAAAUAUCCUUUGAUCCGGAGAUGUCUGAAUGGGGGAACCCACCUACUUUAAGGUAGGUAUUGCAACAUGAAUACAUAGUGUUGCAAGGCGAACGAGGGGAAGUGAAACAUCUCAGUACCCUUAGGAAAAGAAAUCAAUUGAGAUUCCCUCAGUAGCGGCGAGCGAACGGGGAUCAGCCCAUUAAGUUAUGUGUGUUUUAGUGGAACGCUCUGGGAAGUGCGAACGUAGAGGGUGAUAUUCCCGUACACGAAAGGGCACACAUAAUGAUGACGAGUAGGGCGAGGCACGUGAAACCUUGUCUGAAUAUGGGGGGACCAUCCUCCAAGGCUAAAUACUCCUGACUGGCCGAUAGUGAACCAGUACCGUGAGGGAAAGGCGAAAAGAACCCCUGUGAGGGGAGUGAAAUAGAUCCUGAAACCGCAUGCAUACAAGCAGUGGGAGCACCUUCGUGGUGUGACUGCGUACCUUUUGUAUAAUGGGUCAGCGACUUAUAUUCAGUAGCGAGGUUAACCGUAUAGGGGAGCCGUAGAGAAAUCGAGUCUUAAUAGGGCGUUUAGUUGCUGGGUAUAGACCCGAAACCAGGCGAUCUAUCCAUGAGCAGGUUGAAGGUUGGGUAACACUAACUGGAGGACCGAACCCACUGUCGUUGAAAAGCCAGGGGAUGACUUGUGGAUAGGGGUGAAAGGCUAAUCAAGCCUGGUGAUAGCUGGUUCUCCCCGAAAGCUAUUUAGGUAGCGCCUCGGACGAAUACCAUAGGGGGUAGAGCACUGUUUCGGCUAGGGGGUCAUCCCGACUUACCAAACCGAUGCAAACUCCGAAUACCUAUGAGUACUAUCCGGGAGACAGACUGCGGGUGCUAACGUCCGUAGUCAAGAGGAAAACAAUCCAGACCGCCAGCUAAGGCCCCAAAAUCAUAGUUAAGUGGGAAACGAUGUGGGAAGGCAUAGACAGCUAGGAGGUUGGCUUAGAAGCAGCCACCCUUUAAAGAAAGCGUAAUAGCUCACUAGUCGAGUCGGCCUGCGCGGAAGAUGUAACGGGGCUAAAACUAUGUGCCGAAGCUGCGGAUGUAUACUUUGUAUACGUGGUAGGGGAGCGUUCUGUAAGCCGAUGAAGGUGUGUUGAGAAGCAUGCUGGAGGUAUCAGAAGUGCGAAUGCUGACGUGAGUAACGACAAAACGGGUGAAAAACCCGUUCGCCGAAAGACCAAGGGUUCCAGUCCAACGUUAAUCGGGGCUGGGUGAGUCGACCCCUAAGGCGAGGCCGAAAGGCGUAGUCGAUGGGAAAAUGGUUAAUAUUCCAUUACUUCUGUGUAAUGCGAUGAGAGGACGGAGAAGGCUAAAUCAGCCUGGCGUUGGUUGUCCAGGUGAAAGGAUGUAGGCAUGUAUCUUAGGCAAAUCCGGGGUACUCUAUGCUGAGAUCUGAUAGCAAGCUGUACUUGUACAGCGAAGUGGUUGAUGCCAUGCUUCCAGGAAAAGUCUCUAAGCUUCAGUUACACAGGAAUCGUACCCGAAACCGACACAGGUGGUCAGGUCGAGUAGACCAAGGCGCUUGAGAGAACUCUGCUGAAGGAACUAGGCAAAAUGGUACCGUAACUUCGGGAGAAGGUACGCUGUUGUUGGUGAUGGAACUCGCUUCCUGAGCUGACGACAGCCGCAGAAACCAGGCCGCUGCAACUGUUUAUUAAAAACAUAGCACUCUGCAAACACGAAAGUGGACGUAUAGGGUGUGAUGCCUGCCCGGUGCUGGAAGGUUAAUUGAUGGGGUUAGCGUAAGCGAAGCUCUUGAUCGAAGCCCCAGUAAACGGCGGCCGUAACUAUAACGGUCCUAAGGUAGCGAAAUUCCUUGUCGGGUAAGUUCCGACCUGCACGAAUGGCAUAAUGAUGGCGGCGCUGUCUCCAGCAGAGGCUCAGUGAAAUCGAAAUCGCUGUGAAGAUGCAGUGUACCCGCGGCUAGACGGAAAGACCCCGUGAACCUUUACUGCAGCUUGACACUGAACUUUGACCUUACUUGUGUAGGAUAGGUGGGAGGCUUUGAAGCUGGAACGCUAGUUCCAGUGGAGCCGUCCUUGAAAUACCACCCUGGUAAUGUUGAGGUUCUAACUCUGUCCCGUGAUCCGGGACGAGGACCGUGUCUGGUGGGUAGUUUGACUGGGGCGGUCUCCUCCUAAAGAGUAACGGAGGAGUACGAAGGUGCGCUCAGCGUGGUCGGAAAUCACGCGUAGAGUAUAAAGGCAAAAGCGCGCUUAACUGCGAGACCCACAAGUCGAGCAGGUACGAAAGUAGGUCUUAGUGAUCCGGUGGUUCUGUAUGGAAGGGCCAUCGCUCAACGGAUAAAAGGUACUCUGGGGAUAACAGGCUGAUACCGCCCAAGAGUUCAUAUCGACGGCGGUGUUUGGCACCUCGAUGUCGGCUCAUCUCAUCCUGGGGCUGAAGCAGGUCCCAAGGGUAUGGCUGUUCGCCAUUUAAAGAGGUACGCGAGCUGGGUUUAGAACGUCGUGAGACAGUUCGGUCCCUAUCUACCGUGGGCGCUGGAAAUUUGAGAGGAUCUGCUCCUAGUACGAGAGGACCAGAGUGGACGAACCUCUGGUGUACCGGUUGUGACGCCAGUCGCAUCGCCGGGUAGCUAUGUUCGGAAGGGAUAACCGCUGAAAGCAUCUAAGCGGGAAGCCUACCUCAAGAUAAGAUUUCCCUAGGACUUUAUGUCCUCUAAAGAGCCGUUCGAGACUAGGACGUUGAUAGGUUGGAUGUGGAAGCAUAGUGAUAUGUGAAGCUGACCAAUACUAAUUGCUCGUGAGGCUUGACUAUACAACACCCAAGCAGUUG